AGGGGGUGGACUCUGCCCCCGCCCCGCCCGCGGCCCGCGGCGGGGGAGGGGCAUGGGUAACCGGGUCGGUACCGGCCCGCGACUGGAGGAAGGGUUGCGAGUCUAGGAGCUGGCAGGGUCGUCGGCGCCCAGCACUCCCCCCGCCCCCCACGGGAGGCUGAGGCCGGGGGACCGCCAGUCCGGGGUCACCCCGCAGCGUCCGCGUCCGGCCGCACACCCCGGGCACCCACGGGUUGGAUCGGCUGAGUCUGGGGUCGGGAGAAAGAACGAACAAACGAAGGAAUGUGUGAGGGGCGGCCGGCAGGACGGGGGGUGGAGGACGGAGCUCGGAUACCCCAGGACCGUCCCUGCGGGACCCUCGGUGCGCCUCGGUUUCCUCUUUGGGGCACUAGAGCCCCUGUGUGCGCGUCUGAAUACUUCUGAACCAGGAAGUGUCUACAAAUCGAUGGGGCGUCGUGGCUUAACUGCAAGGUUUCUUUCUUUCCUCCUGGUGCUUAAAAUCCUGGUGGCCUUUAUACAUCCCCGGCAUUUGAAAGUCAUUUCCUCAACGCCCACCCUGUUUGUGCCAGGCCCUGCUCCCAUGUGGCACACUUCCCACUCCCAUUUACAGGGAGCAAGUCGUGCCCGGAGGACUUGCUCACACACUGCAAACGGUAAACUUAGGGCCUGUGCCCUACGUCCCCUCCAGGUCCCAAGGACUGAGCUGGGACGUGCCGGGGUUCGACACACCCGCACUGGAUUCUUUGGGCCGCAACCAUGAGAGGCGUUGGGGAGUGUCACCGCCUCCGGGAGAGCCCUGGACACGGGAGGACACGCGAGCUUCUGCCACUCUCUCAAAGUCACAUGAGAUGAAGGGAGCCAGGUCCAGAGAGGAGCAUCCUCCAAGGUCAAGCAGCUGAGAGGUGGACUCAGUGCCCUCUUCCUGAGGGAGCAGGGGUCGGCAGAGAGGCAAGCCUGCAUCUGCUGAUUCCCAGCCUGGAGCUUUAGGAGGCUGAACGGACCAACCAGACACUCCGCUGCUGCUUCAGAACCCAGGUCUGGGAUGGACACCAGUGGACCUGCAGACAGGCAGGCAGGGCCAGCUCACCAUCAAGAUGCCUAAACCAGGGGCUUCCCUGGUGGCUCAGUGAUAAAGAAUCUGCCUGCCAAAGCAGGGGACACUACUGAAGCCCACGUGCUAGAGAAAGCCCAUGCAGCAAUGAAGACACAGCACAGCCAAAAACUAACCAAUAAGAAAUACACAAUGUGUGUGUCAAAGAUGGGCCAGGCGGUGACCAGGAGCAGUGGAAGGAGGGCCAGGGGGCAAGUAGCACAGAGAAGACAGGAAAACGCACAGUCUGAGGACAACCUGGGCUCCGCCAGGCAAGUGGGGACCCAGGAGCAGAGCCCAGAAGGGGCAGCAGAAAUACCUGACAAGCCAGCCGGGAAGCCCCAUCCCCACCCCCCACCUCCCCACCAGUGAUGAAAUGCACUGACCCUCAGGUCCCAGGAGCUCCACAGAGGAUAGAUACCACAUCACAUCCAAACAUAAAGAGAAAAUCACAGUCAGAAAGAAAAAGAUGUCGUGUUUGGGGAACACAAGUGAGAAUGACAAACAAGAGAAGCCAGGAAUAAAGGGGACACCAAGGACACCGAGAAGAAAACGCCAACCUGAAACGUUACCGCUGCUCCGCCGCAAAGUCGUUUCCGACUCUUAUACCAUGUUAAAAAAAUAAGUGCUUGAGAAACAAAGGAGGGGUGAGGACUCUCAGCCAUCAAAAGCCAAGAGGAACCGGUGCAGGUUCCCUGCCCAGCCCAUCCAUCUGCAGUCUCCCAGCCCGUCUGCCGCCCAGCACCCCCACACCUCACCCGCUCCCACAGGCAGGUCCAUCCCCAUCAGGUGCCAGCUCAGAAUCGCUUCCACUUACCUGACGACCUC